rnacentral:lncRNA from 1 species
CUUUUUCCUAAAUUAACCUUUGUUUGGUCAUGCAAAGAGUUGAAAUUCAAGAAAAGCAUAAAGUGCAAAAAGGUUGAAUGAUUGGAAGACAAAGAUUAAAGUUUGGUCAUGCAAUAAUCUAAAUCUCAUUUAUCCUAUAGGUCCACCAAUUAACUGGAGUACGGUCGCUGAUCAAUCAAUUGAUUAUUAGCAUUCAUAGGUUGAUCAUUCCUAAUCAUGUGAUAAAAUCAAUAGGAUAACAUUAAUUGAACAAAAUAUCGAAAUUCAAAUUAGAAACUAGAACAUAUAAGCUAAGACAUAGCAAAAGGAAUUUUAAUUGCAAGAUUCACCAUAAACCCUAGAAAAGAUUUAAUUAUACAUAGUCAAGAACAUGAAAUUAGGAGAAAAGAAUAAAACCCAAAAGAUAGAAAUGUUGUUCAAGGCUUCAACCUCUCUCCAAAAUCUCGUCCUCUGUACAGCGUGUUUUCUCCGAAGAAAAACGUCAUACCCAACUGCAACUCAGAAACUCUAUUUAUAACCCUCUUGAAU